AAAUAUUAACACUAAAAAAAAAAAAUCUUAUCUUAAAGUACCAGAACCACCACCUCCAAAACCUGCUGAAGAGGUUGAAGUACCUACUGUUACAAAAAGAGAAAGGAAGAUUCCUGAACCAACAAAAGUGCCUGAAAUCAAGCCACCAAUACCUCUCCCUGGACCUGAACCGAAACCAAAGCCUGAAGCAGGUGAGCAAGCUUAUCCUCAACGUCAACAGCAUAUUCCUUCUUGAUUCACACACAUAACAUGUACUUA
ensembl:lincRNA